rnacentral:tRNA from 2 species
GCAGUUGUGGCGGAAUGGCAGACGCGCUAGAUUCAGGUUCUAGUGAGGUAAUACUCGUGUGGGUUCAACUCCCAUCAACUGCA